rnacentral:rRNA from 1 species
CUUGUGUAUCAGGGCUGAUUAAUUUAUAGUUAAGACUUUGGCGAUCUCGAAUUUAAAAGAGCUAUAUUUAAAUAUAUUUUAAUGUUGAAUAAUUAUUUAUAAUUUACAUAUAGUAAUGAAAUGUUAUUCGUUUUUGAAUAUAUCUAGUUUUCUAAGAAAUUAAUUAAAUUUAGUAGCUAUUAAGUAUUGGUAUACUUAUUUAUUUUGAUGCUAGUAGUUAUUAAUAUCUGAGGGGAUGAGCUUUUGGAUAAAUGGUUAAAAGAAUUUUGUAUUUUGAAUAAUUUGUAGGAUUAGAAUUUUCCAUCUAUAAAAGGAUUUUAUAAUUUAUUAUUCUAUUGUAUAAUUUUUAUUUUCUUUAGGUUUUUUAUUGGAAUUAUGGUAUUAAUUUUUUUUGUUAUGUAAUAAUGAUUAGAUUAGUAUAAAUUGUUGUAUUGUUAAGUUUUUUUGUAAGGUUGUAGAAAGGAAUUCGGCAAAUUUAGUUUUCACCUGUUUAAUAAAAACAUGGCCUUUUGAGUAUGAUUUAAGGUCUUGCCUGCCCGAUGAUUUUUGAAUGGCCGCAGUAUUUUG